GAGUGAGGGCCCUCUGGGUCCAACCUCCCACCCGUGUCUAUCGUACCUUGUUGCUUCGGCGGGCCCGCCGUUUCGACGGCCGCCGGGGAGGCCUUGCGCCCCCGGGCCCGCGCCCGCCGAAGACCCCAACAUGAACGCUGUUCUGAAAGUAUGCAGUCUGAGUUGAUUAUCGUAAUCAGUUAAAACUUUCAACAACGGAUCUCUUGGUUCCGGCAUCGAUGAAGAACGCAGCGAAAUGCGAUAAGUAAUGUGAAUUGCAGAAUUCAGUGAAUCAUCGAGUCUUUGAACGCACAUUGCGCCCCCUGGUAUUCCGGGGGGCAUGCCUGUCCGAGCGUCAUUGCUGCCCUCAAGCACGGCUUGUGUGUUGGGCCCCCGUCCCCCUCUCCCGGGGGACGGGCCCGAAAGGCAGCGGCGGCACCGCGUCCGGUCCUCGAGCGUAUGGGGCUUUGUCACCUGCUCUGUAGGCCCGGCCGGCGCCAGCCGACACCCAACUUUAUUUUUCUAAGGUUGACCUCGGAUCAGGUAGGGAUACCCGCUGAACUUAAGCAUAUCAAUAAGCGGAGGAAAAGAAACCAACAGGGAUUGCCUCAGUAACGGCGAGUGAAGCGGCAAGAGCUCAAAUUUGAAAGCUGGCCCCUUCGGGGUCCGCGUUGUAAUUUGCAGAGGAUGCUUCGGGUGCAGCCCCCGUCUAAGUGCCCUGGAACGGGCCGUCAUAGAGGGUGAGAAUCCCGUCUGGGACGGGGUGUCUGCGUCCGUGUGAAGCUCCUUCGACGAGUCGAGUUGUUUGGGAAUGCAGCUCUAAAUGGGUGGUAAAUUUCAUCUAAAGCUAAAUACUGGCCGGAGACCGAUAGCGCACAAGUAGAGUGAUCGAAAGAUGAAAAGCACUUUGAAAAGAGAGUUAAACAGCACGUGAAAUUGUUGAAAGGGAAGCGUUUGCGACCAGACUCGCCCGCGGGGUUCAGCCGGCAUUCGUGCCGGUGUACUUCCCCGUGGGCGGGCCAGCGUCGGUUUGGGCGGCCGGUCAAAGGCCCUCGGAAUGUAUCACCUCUCGGGGUGU
rnacentral:rRNA from 1 species